ensembl:snRNA U4 U4 spliceosomal RNA
AGCUUUGCACAGUGGAAGUACCGUAGUCAAGGAGGUUUAUCUGAGCAGCGAUUAUUGCUAAUUGAAAACUUUCCCCAAAAGAU